UGAGGAAUAUUGGACAAUGGGCGCAAGCCUGAUCCAGCCAUGCCGCGUGCAGGAAGAAGCAUCUAUGGUGUGUAAACUGCUUUUGUACGGGAAGAAACACCUCUACGUGUAGAGGCUUGACGGUACCGUAAGAAUAAGGAUCGGCUAACUCCGUGCCAGCAGCCGCGGUAAUACGGAGGAUCCAAGCGUUAUCCGGAAUCAUUGGGUUUAAAGGGUCCGUAGGCGGUUUGGUAAGUCAGUGGUGAAAGCCCUUCGCUCAACGGAGGAACGGCCAUUGAUACUGCCAGACUUGAAUUACUGGGAAGUAACUAGAAUAUGUAGUGUAGCGGUGAAAUGCUUAGAUAUUACAUGGAAUACCAAUUGCGAAGGCAGGUUACUACCGGUGGAUUGACGCUGAUGGACGAAAGCGUGGGGAGCGAACAG
rnacentral:rRNA from 1 species